rnacentral:rRNA from 1 species
GAUGAACGCUGGCGGCGUGCCUAAUACAUGCAAGUCGAGCGAACAGACGAGGAGCUUGCUCCUCUGACGUUAGCGGCGGACGGGUGAGUAACACGUGGAUAACCUACCUCUAAGACUGGGAUAACUUCGGGAAACCGGAGCUAAUACCGGAUAAUAUAUUGAACCGCAUGGUUCAAUAGUGAAAGACGGUUUUGCUGUCACUUAUAGAUGGAUCCGCGCCGGAUUAGCUAGUUGGUAAGGUAACGGCUUACCAAGGCAACGAUGCGUAGCCGACCUGAGAGGGUGAUCGGCCACACUGGAACUGAGACACGGUCCAGACUCCUACGGGAGGCAGCAGUAGGGAAUCUUCCGCAAUGGGCGAAAGCCUGACGGAGCAACGCCGCGUGAGUGAUGAAGGUCUUCGGAUCGUAAAACUCUGUUAUUAGGGAAGAACAAAUGUGUAAGUAACUAUGCACGUCUUGACGGUACCUAAUCAGAAAGCCACGGCUAACUACGUG